rnacentral:rRNA from 1 species
AGUGAACGCUGGCGGUAGGCCUAACACAUGCAAGUCGAACGGCAGCACAGUAAGAGCUUGCUCUUACGGGUGGCGAGUGGCGGACGGGUGAGGAAUACAUCGGACUCUACUUUUUCGUGGGGGAUAACGUAGGGAAACUUACGCUAAUACCGCAUACGCCCUACGGUUGAAAGCAGGGGAUCUUCGGACCUUGCGCGAUUGAAUGCGCCGAUGUCGGAUUAGCUAGUUGGCGGGGUAAAGGCCCACCAAGGCGACGAUCCGUAGCUGGUCUGAGAGGAUGAUCAGCCACACUGGAACUGAGACACGGUCCAGACGCCUAAGGGAGGCAGCAGUGGGGAAUAUUGGACAAAGGGCGCAAGCCUGAUCCAGCCAUACCGCGUGGGUGAAGAAGGCCUUCGGGUUGUAAAGCCCUUUUGUUGGGAAAGAAAAGCAGCAGGUUAAUACCCCGCUGUUCUGACGGUACCCAAAGAAUAAGCACCGGCUAACUUCGUG